rnacentral:rRNA from 1 species
GGUGGGGAUGACGUCAAGUCAUCAUGCCCCUUAUGACCUGGGCUACACACGUGCUACAAUGGAUGGUACAACGAGUUGCGAACUCGCGAGAGCAAGCUAAUCUCUUAAAGCCAUUCUCAGUUCGGACUGUAGGCUGCAACUCGCCUACACGAAGUCGGAAUCGCUAGUAAUCGCGGAUCAGCAUGCCGCGGUGAAUAC